CAUGGAUUAAGAAAUGGCUGACAACAUUUGAGGCCAUGAUGGAGUCUGGGAUCCUUGAACUGGACAAUCCUGUGCACAUCAACUGCUUGCAGUACUCACACUUGCCACUGCUUCAAAGAGACUUAAAAACGGAGCAAACAGUUUGGAACACCCAUGACAUCCGCAAGCAACGCAAUGCACCUG